GACGAACCGUGCAAACGUUAUUCGGAAUCACUGGGCAUAAAGGGCGCGUAGGCGGCUCCAAAAGUCAGGGGUGAAAUCCGGCAGCUUAACUGUCGCAGUGCCUUUGAUACUGUGGAGCUAGAGGGAGGUAGGGGUCUGUGGAACUUCCGGUGUAGCGGUGAAAUGCGUAGAUAUCGGAAGGAACACCAAUUGCGAAGGCAGCUCGCUGGGACGUUACUGACGCUGAGACGCGAAAGCGUGGGGAGCAAACAGGG
rnacentral:rRNA from 1 species